rnacentral:lncRNA from 1 species
GAGGGGGCAUGUCCACAAACUUGAAUAAUGGCAUUGUUAACUUCGAACGACAAACACACAGUAAUUUCAUAAAACAUCAUUUUUUUUUACUUUUGUUUUUCACUAAUGUUUGUAAUCAUGCCCGUAUGGUGUUCUGUGCCUGGCUUUGCUAAUUACAAACAAGUGCGAAAAUGUGUUACCUUUCACCGUUCUACCUACCAGAGAUUCACCUCAAUUCUGCAAGUGGCUUGCGGCUAUCAAGAAAGAUGCGGUGACCAAAGAUUCUUAUUUUCAGGCUGAACUGAUAAGAAUCCAUUUCCACGACAGCUGAGAACUACCUGCCUUUUCAUUGGGGAGGAAUCCAACUCAUCUCGCCCAAGACCUUUCGAUGAGAAAAUGUGAAAAACUAACUUUCUUUCAAACCCUUCUAACACAGCAACCCUUCUGAAUUAUGUCGAGUUUUUACAUGUUUUUAAUGCUUUGUGGGAUCUAUUGGGUGAAUCUCCUGCUCUUAUUGGGUGGAUCUUCAAAGAAUUUGACCUCUGCUGUUUGAUCCAGGGUUGCUUAAUUGCCUCUGAGUGUGUCAUAGUCAGCAGCGGACCCUCGGGGUGUGGAUCAUUUGCAUCCUGCUGAAGUUUUUAAACUGUGACUCAUCAUCAGAGAGGUUAGAGAGGGCUGAGCGCUCACCUGCCAAGCUGUAAUGUCAGGUGAUAUGGUUACUUCCGCUGUGUCCCAAAUGGCACCCUAAUCCCUAUAUAGUGCUCUACCUUUGGCCAGAGCCCAUAGAAGAGAUCUCAUUUUAUGUAUUUUAAAUGGUUUUUUCAACACAGAGUAUUGCACAGGGUAUUACCCAGAGUAUUACACAUAGCGGUCUUUACCUUUAGCUCGGACACCAACCAGCUUUAGCUCGGACAAUAUCUGCCAGUCUGCACAGUGCGAUAUCAACCCAGAUCAUAUCGGACUGCUUCUCUCUACCACAUAACCGGAUUCCUGCCACUCUGGAUCAUUACACCGGAUCAUCGCAGCUAGCUAGCUGCUACCGAGUGGCUACUGUUAGCUAACGCCUCUCUCCCGAAGCAAGCACCAGUUAGCCUUGAGCUCGGCCCAUAUACCAGCUAAUUCUAGGGCUACAAUGCCUCUUUUGCCAAUUGGCUCGGAUCCUUUAUUGUCGACAUGGAGCCCACCGAUCCAUCACGACUGGUCUGCCGACGUAAUUGCCCAAUGUGGUCUCAACAGGCUUUUCCGUUGCGAUGUCGCCGAAGACCCAGGCUGGUCAGGAUGAUAUCUAUGAGGGUGCCCGUGUUUACGGAUUUAGGGUUGUACCUGGUAGGUUCCUUGAUAAUUUGUGUGAGAUUGAGGUAAUCUAUUUUAGAUUGUAGGACGGCCGGGGUGUUAAGCAUAUCCCAGUUUAGGUCACCUAACAGUUCGAACUCUGAAGAUAAAUGAGGGGCAAUCAAUUCACAUAUGGUGUCCAGGGCACUGCUGGGGGCUGAGGGGGGUCUAUAACAAGCGGCAACGUUGAGAGACUUAUUUCUGGAAGUAGAAGCUCAAACUGUUUGGGCACAGACCUGGAUAGCAUGACAGAACUCUGCAGACUAUCUUAGCAGUAGAUUGCAACUCCGCCCCCUAAAAUGUUGUAGUGGUCUUCCUAAGCCAGGAUUCAGACACGGCUAGGACAUCAGGGUUGGCGGAGUUUGCUAAAGCAGUGAAUAAAACAAAGUUAGGGAGGAGGCUUCUGAUGUUAACAUGCAUGAAACCAAAGCUUUUACGGUUACAUAAGUCAACAAAUGAUAGUGCCUGGGGAAUAGGUGUGGUACUGGGGUCUAUAUGGCCUGGGUUAACCUCUACAUCACCAGAGGAACAGAGGAGUAGGAUAAGGGUACGGCUAAAGGCUCUAUACGAACUGGUCGUCUAGUGCGUUGGGAACAGAGAAUAAAAGGAUCAUAUUUCUGGCCGUGG